AUUGAACGCUGGCGGCAGGCCUAACACAUGCAAGUCGGACGGUAGCACAGAGGAGCUUGCUCCUCGGGUGACGAGUGGCGGACGGGUGAGUAAUGUCUGGGGAUCUGCCCGAUAGAGGGGGAUAACCACUGGAAACGGUGGCUAAUACCGCAUAACGCCGCAAGACCAAAGAGGGGGACCUUCGGGCCUCUCACUAUCGGAUGAACCCAGAUGGGAUUAGCUAGUAGGCGGGGUAACGGCCCACCUAGGCGACGAUCCCUAGCUGGUCUGAGAGGAUGACCAGCCACACUGGAACUGGGACACGGUCCAGACUCCUACGGGAGGCAGCAGUGGGGAAUAUUGCACAAUGGGCGCAAGCCUGAUGCAGUCAUGCCGCGUGUAUGAAGAAGGCCUUCGGGUUGUAAAGUACUUUCAGCGGGGAGGGAGGCGGUGAAGUUAGUAGCUUCACCGAUUGACGUUACCCGCAGAAGAAGCACCGGCUAACUCCGUGCCAGCCGCCGCGGUAA
rnacentral:rRNA from 1 species